rnacentral:rRNA from 1 species
AACGCGAAGAACCUUACCAGGGUUUGACAUCCUACUAACGAAGCAGAGAUGCAUUAGGUGCCCUUCGGGGAAAGUAGAGACAGGUGGUGCAUGGUUGUCGUCAGCUCGUGUCGUGAGAUGUUGGGUUAAGUCCCGCAACGAGCGCAACCCUUAUUGUUAGUUGCUACGCAAGAGCACUCUAGCGAGACUGCCGUUGACAAAACGGAGGAAGGUGGGGACGACGUCAAAUCAUCAUGCCCCUUAUAUCCUGGGCGACACACGUAAUACAAUGGCGGUCAACAGAGGGAUGCGAAGCCGUGAGGUGGAGCAAAUCCCCAAAAGCCGUCUCAGUUCGGAUCGCAGGCUGCAACCCGCCUGCGUGAAGUCGGAAUCGCUAGUAAUCGCGGAUCAGCAUGCCGCGGUGAAUACGUUCCCGGGUCUUGUACACACCG